CCUACGGGAGGCAGCAGUGAGGAAUAUUGGUCAAUGGGCUUACGCCUGAACCAGCCAAGUCGCGUGAGGGAAGACUGCCCUAUGGGUUGUAAACCUCUUUUGUCAGGGAGCAAUUGGCGCUACGUGUAGCGUUAUCGAGAGUACCUGAAGAAAAAGCAUCGGCUAACUCCGUGCCAGCAGCCGCGGUAAUACGGAGGAUGCGAGCGUUAUCCGGAUUUUUUGGGUUUAAAGGGUGCGUAGGCGGAAUGCCAAGUCGGCGGUAAAAUCGCGGGGCUCAACCUCGCUCCGCCGUUGAAACUGGCGUCCUUGAGUGGGCGGGAGGUAUGCGGAAUGAGUGGUGUAGCGGUGAAAUGCAUAGAUAUCGCGCAGAACUCCGAUUGCGAAGGCAGCAUACCGGCGCCCAACUGACGCUGAGGCACGAAAGCGUGGGUAUCGAACAGGAUCAGAUACCCGUGUAGUC
rnacentral:rRNA from 1 species